GCCUAAAGCGUCCGUAGCCGGCUCUGUAAGUUUUCGGUUAAAUCCAUAUGCUCAACAUAUGGGCCGCCGGGAAUACUGCAUAGCUAGGGAGUGGGAGAGGUAGACGGUACUCCGUAGGAAGGGGUAAAAUCCUUUGAUCUAUGGAUGACCACCUGUGGCGAAGGCGGUCUACCAGAACACGUUCGACGGUGAGGGAUGAAAGCUGGGGGAGCAAACCGGAUUAGAUACCCGGGUAGUCCCAGCUGUAAACUAUGCAAACUCAGUGAUGCAUUGGCUUGUGGCCAGUGCAGUGCCGCAGAGAAGUCGUUAAGUUUGCCGCCUGGGAAGUACGUACGCAAGUAUGAAACUUAAAGGAAUUGGCGGGGGAGCACCACAAGGGGUGAAGCCUGCGGUUCAAUUGGAGUCAACGCCAGAAAUCUUACCCGGAGAGACAGCAGGAUGAAGGUCAAGCUGAAGACUUUACCAGACAAGCUGAGAAGUGGUGCAUGGCCGUCGCCAGCUCGUGCCGUGAGGUGUCCUGUUAAGUCAGGUAACGAGCGAGAUCCUUGCCUCUAGUUGCCACCAUUACUCUCAGGAGUAGUGGGGCGAAUUAGCGGGACUGCCGUAGUUAAUACGGAGGAAGGAGAGGGCCACGGCAGGUCAGUAUGCCCCGAA
rnacentral:rRNA from 1 species